rnacentral:rRNA from 1 species
UACGGAGGAUGCAAGCGUUAUCCGGAUUUAUUGGGUUUAAAGGGUGCGCAGGUUGUUUGAUAAGUCAGUGGUGAAAUACAUGGGCUUAACCCAUGAAUUGCCAUUGAAACUGCCGGUCUUGAGUGGAUCAGAGGCAAGCGGAAUUCCGAGUGUAGCGGUGAAAUGCGUAGAUAUUCGGAGGAACACCGGUGGCGAAGGCGGCUUGCUGGGGUCUAACUGACGCUGAGGCUCGAAAGUGUGGGGAGCAAACAGGAUUAGAUACCCCGGUAGU